CAAUACCGCCCCUGCUGCCCCAAUUCACCGACCAAUCUCCAAAUCCCUAAUGCCCUCACAUGAGAACAACACCCCGAGAUACUUCAACUUCUCCACUUGAGGCAAGAUCUCAGUCCCAACCUUCAGUCUUCCUCUGUGACUCCUAAAAUGAUCAUUGCUGAAGAUUACUGCAGGUUGUAACUGUACCAAAUAAACUGACCAUAAACAUGGAAAAACCUCACAUAGAUAAGUGAUGCUGGUCAGGACACAAAACCCUGGCAGAAAAUCUGCCACCUGCAAACUCACCUGUUUCUAAAGACACGUGUUUCUUCCAAAUAUAGACGAGAGUGAGGGGCUUCAUCCACAAGUGCGUUCACAAAUAAUGGACCAGGCGACCAACAACAAGAUCUCAGGUGCCUAACAGUGGCACAGAAAUGUGGGUCAGCAAUGAAGACGAAGACAUGUGCAACCAGCACGUGACGCUGGCGAGCGGCGGCGGCGGGAGGCCGUGGGACGGAGACUCCCCAGAGACCAUCUCCCUCUCGCCGCCGAAGCUGCGCUUCCUUGGGCGCUGAUAUCAAGAUUCUGAGACUCUGUCAGCUGGACAGAGGAGGAUGGGAGGCAGUUGCAGUGGGUUACCAGACGGUGAUGGACGACCUCUGGGACUCCGACUACCUUAACUGAGAUGGGAAGAAGUCAAAUCCCAAGCUCCUCCUUGAAGAAGUCCUUCACUCCUUCCAGUCUCAGGAGAAGCAGGGAGGGGGCCCUUCUGUUCAGAGGCCACGGAUUAUUCACUUCAGGGUUCAGAACAAGGCCAGCGGCACAAUAGGAAUCAGGCUUCGGCGCCGACUCACCAUGGAAACACUGCUUCAAAUUCAAGUGGGACAUCAUGGUUGUCACAUCCUGCAUCGCAGCUUUAUUGUCUACGCAGCUUUCAAUACAGCAAAGUAUCAACAAUGACUGACCCUCCGCGUGAAGAAGCAGCGGCUGCAGUGGUGUGUCAGAGCGAGUGAGGUGUCAGGACCGACUCCAAGGCUCCAAACACAGAAGCUGCACAUGAAACACUGCACUCGCACGUGACGUGGCUGGUUGGUAAUAUCUACACUCAUG